rnacentral:rRNA from 1 species
GAUGAACGCUAGCGGCAGGCUUAACACAUGCAAGUCGAGGGGCAACACGGGUAGCAAUACUCUGAUGGCGACCGGCAGACGGGUGAGUAACGCGUAUGUAACCUACCCUGUACAGGGGGAUAACCCGGAGAAAUUCGGACUAAUAUCCCAUGGAAAUAUUGAGAGGCAUCUUUGAUAUUUAAAGUUCCGGCGGUACGGGAUGGGCAUGCGUAACAUUAGCUAGUUGGUAAGGUAACGGCUUACCAAGGCUUUGAUGUUUAGGGGUCCUGAGAGGAUUAUCCCCCACACUGGUACUGAGACACGGACCAGACUCCUACGGGAGGCAGCAGUGAGGAAUAUUGGUCAAUGGACGCAAGUCUGAACCAGCCAUGCCGCGUGCAGGAUGACGGCCCUAUGGGUUGUAAACUGCUUUUCCACGGGAAGAACCCUCCGACGUGUCGGAGACUGACGGUACCGUGGGAAUAAGCAUCGGCUAACUCCGUG